AAAGAUUUAGUUAAAAAAUAACAUUAAUUUGUCAAAUUAAAAUCAUUUUAAAUAAAUAAUCUUUG
rnacentral:tRNA from 1 species